rnacentral:rRNA from 1 species
AUUGAACGCUGGCGGUAGGCCUAACACAUGCAAGUCGAACGCGAAAGUCCUUCGGAUGAGUAGAGUGGCGGACGGGUGAGUAACGCGUAGGAAUCUGUCCUGUAGUGGGGGAUAACGUUUCGAAAGGAACGCUAAUACCGCAUACGCCCUACGGGGAAAGCGGGGAGUCUUCGGACCUCGCGCUAGAGGAGGAGCCUGCGUCGGAUUAGCUAGUUGGUGAGGUAAAGGCUCACCAAGGCGACGAUCCGUAGCUGGUCUGAGAGGAUGAUCAGCCACACCGGAACUGAGACACGGUCCGGACUCCUACGGGAGGCAGCAGUGGGGAAUAUUGCGCAAUGGGCGAAAGCCUGACGCAGCCAUACCGCGUGUGUAGAAGAAGGCC